rnacentral:rRNA from 1 species
GAUGAACGCUAGCGAUAGGCUUAACACAUGCAAGUCGAGGGGCAGCACGGUGUAGCAAUACACUGGUGGCGACCGGCGUACGGGUGCGUAACACGUAUGCAACCUACCCGCUAUUGGGGGAUAACCCGGCGAAAGUCGGACUAAUAUCCCAUAUUAUUCUUACCGGGCAUCCGGUGAGUCUGAAAGAUUUAUCGAUUGCGGAUGGGCAUGCGGAUGAUUAGCUAGUAGGUGGGGUAACGGCUCACCUAGGCGACGAUCAUUAGGGGUUCUGAGAGGAAGGUCCCCCACACUGGAACUGAGACACGGUCCAGACUCCUACGGGAGGCAGCAGUGAGGAAUAUUGGUCAAUGGGCGCUAGCCUGAACCAGCCAAGUCGCGUGAAGGGAUGACAGAUCUAUGGUUUGUAAACUUCUUUUGCAGGGGAGUAAAGUGCGACACGUGUGUUGUAUUGCAAGUACCCUGCGAAUAAGCAUCGGCUAACUCCGUGCC